rnacentral:rRNA from 1 species
UACAAUGGCGUAAACAAAGGGAAGCAGCCCUGUGAAGGUGAGCAAAUCCCAAAAAUAACGUCCCAGUUCGGAUUGUAGUCUGCAACCCGACUACAUGAAGCUGGAAUCGCUAGUAAUCGCGCAUCAGCCAUGGCGCGGUGAAUACGUUCCCGGGCCUUGUACACACCGCCCGUCAAGCCAUGGGAGCCGGGGGUACCUGAAGUGCGUAACCGCGAGGAGCGCCCUAGGGUAAAACUGGUGACUGGGGCUAAGUCGUAACAAGGUAAC